GCGCUGCUAGUGUAGUCUCAUCAUGCAAGAUUCCCAUUCUUGUGACCCGGGUUCGAUUCCCGGGCAGCGCA
rfam:Oreochromis niloticus linkage group LG1, whole genome shotgun sequence.